rnacentral:rRNA from 1 species
AUGCACGCUGGCGGCGUGCCUCAUACAUGCAAGUCGCGCGAACAGACGAGGAGCUUGCUCCUCUGACGUUAGCGGCGGACGGGUGAGUAACACGUGGAUAACCUACCUAUAAGACUGGGAUAACUUCGGGAAACCGGAGCUAAUACCGGAUAAUAUAUUGAACCGCAUGGUUCAAUAGUGAAAGACGGUUUUGCUGUCACUUAUAGAUGGAUCCGCGCCGCAUUAGCUAGUUGGUAAGGUAACGGCUUACCAAGGCAACGAUGCGUAGCCGACCUGAGAGGGUGAUCGGCCACACUGGAACUGAGACACGGUCCAGACUCCUACGGGAGGCAGCAGUAGGGAAUCUUCCGCAAUGGACGAAAGCCUGACGGAGCAACGCCGCGUGAGUGAUGAAGGUCUUCGGAUCGUAAAACUCUGUUAUUAGGGAAGAACAAAUGUGUAAGUAACUAUGCACGUCUUGACGGUACCUAAUCAGAAAGCCACGGCUAACUACGUG